CACUAUCGUUAACUGAAUACAUAGGUUAACGAGGCGAACCGGGGGAACUGAAACAUCUAAGUACCCCGAGGAAAAGAAAUCAACCGAGAUUCCCCCAGUAGCGGCGAGCGAACGGGGAGCAGCCCAGAGUCUGAAUCAGCUUGUGUGUUAGUGGAACGGUCUGGAAAGUCCGACGGUACAGGGUGAUAGUCCCGUACACCAAAAUGCACAGGCUGUGAACUCGAAGAGUAGGGCGGGACACGUGGUAUCCUGUCUGAAUAUGGGGGGACCAUCCUCCAAGGCUAAAUACUCCUGACUGACCGAUAGUGAACCAGUACCGUGAGGGAAAGGCGAAAAGAACCCCGGCGAGGGGAGUGAAAAAGAACCUGAAACCGUGUACGUACAAGCAGUGGGAGCACCUUCGGGUGUGACUGCGUACCUUUUGUAUAAUGGGUCAGCGACUUAUAUUCUGUAGCAAGGUUAACCGUAUAGGGGAGCCGCAGGGAAACCGAGUCUUAACUGGGCGUUAAGUUGCAGGGUAUAGACCCGAAACCCGGUGAUCUAGCCAUGGGCAGGUUGAAGGUUGGGUAACACUAACUGGAGGACCGAACCGACUAAUGUUGAAAAAUUAGCGGAUGACUUGUGGCUGGGGGUGAAAGGCCAAUCAAACCGGGAGAUAGCUGGUUCUCCCCGAAAGCUAUUUAGGUAGCGCCUCGUGAAUUCAUCUUCGGGGGUAGAGCACUGUUUCGGCUAGGGGGUCAUCCCGACUUACCAACCCGAUGCAAACUACGAAUACCGAAGAAUGUUAUCACGGGAGACACACGGCGGGUGCUAACGUCCGUCGUGAAGAGGGAAACAACCCAGACCGCCAGCUAAGGUCCCAAAGUCAUGGUUAAGUGGGAAACGAUGUGGGAAGGCACAGACAGCCAGGAUGUUGGCUUAGAAGCAGCCAUCAUUUAAAGAAAGCGUAAUAGCUCACUGGUCGAGUCGGCCUGCGCGGAAGAUGUAACGGGGCUAAACCAUGCACCGAAGCUGCGGCAGCGACACGAUGUGUUGUUGGGUAGGGGAGCGUUCUGUAAGCCUGCGAAGGUGUGCUGUGAGGCAUGCUGGAGGUAUCAGAAGUGCGAAUGCUGACAUAAGUAACGAUAAAGCGGGUGAAAAGCCCGCUCGCCGGAAGACCAAGGGUUCCUGUCCAACGUUAAUCGGGGCAGGGUGAGUCGACCCCUAAGGCGAGGCCGAAAGGCGUAGUCGAUGGGAAACAGGUUAAUAUUCCUGUACUUGGUGUUACUGCGAAGGGGGGACGGAGAAGGCUAUGUUAGCCGGGCGACGGUUGUCCCGGUUUAAGCAUGUAGGCUGGUUAUCCAGGCAAAUCCGGAUAAUCAAGGCUGAGGUGUGAUGACGAGGCACUACGGUGCUGAAGUAACAAAUGCCCUGCUUCCAGGAAAAGCCUCUAAGCAUCAGGUAACAUCAAAUCGUACCCCAAACCGACACAGGUGGUCAGGUAGAGAAUACCAAGGCGCUUGAGAGAACUCGGGUGAAGGAACUAGGCAAAAUGGUGCCGUAACUUCGGGAGAAGGCACGCUGGUGUGUAGGUGAAGUCCCUGCGGAUGGAGCUGAGACCAGUCGAAGAUACCAGCUGGCUGCAACUGUUUAUUAAAAACACAGCACUGUGCAAACACGAAAGUGGACGUAUACGGUGUGACGCCUGCCCGGUGCCGGAAGGUUAAUUGAUGGGGUUAUCCGUAAGGAGAAGCUCUUGAUCGAAGCCCCGGUAAACGGCGGCCGUAACUAUAACGGUCCUAAGGUAGCGAAAUUCCUUGUCGGGUAAGUUCCGACCUGCACGAAUGGCGUAAUGAUGGCCAGGCUGUCUCCACCCGAGACUCAGUGAAAUUGAACUCGCUGUGAAGAUGCAGUGUACCCGCGGCAAGACGGAAAGACCCCGUGAACCUUUACUAUAGCUUGACACUGAACAUUGAGCCUUGAUGUGUAGGAUAGGUGGGAGGCUUUGAAGCGUGGACGCCAGUCUGCGUGGAGCCAACCUUGAAAUACCACCCUUUAAUGUUUGAUGUUCUAACGUUGGCCCCUGACCGGGGUUGCGGACAGUGUCUGGUGGGUAGUUUGACUGGGGCGGUCUCCUCCCAAAGCGUAACGGAGGAGCACGAAGGUUAGCUAAUCCUGGUCGGACAUCAGGAGGUUAGUGCAAUGGCAUAAGCUAGCUUGACUGCGAGCGUGACGGCGCGAGCAGGUGCGAAAGCAGGUCAUAGUGAUCCGGUGGUUCUGAAUGGAAGGGCCAUCGCUCAACGGAUAAAAGGUACUCCGGGGAUAACAGGCUGAUACCGCCCAAGAGUUCAUAUCGACGGCGGUGUUUGGCACCUCGAUGUCGGCUCAUCACAUCCUGGGGCUGAAGUAGGUCCCAAGGGUAUGGCUGUUCGCCAUUUAAAGUGGUACGCGAGCUGGGUUUAGAACGUCGUGAGACAGUUCGGUCCCUAUCUGCCGUGGGCGCUGGAGAAUUGAGGGGGGCUGCUCCUAGUACGAGAGGACCGGAGUGGACGCAUCACUGGUGUUCGGGUUGUCAUGCCAAUGGCACUGCCCGGUAGCUAAAUGCGGAAGAGAUAAGUGCUGAAAGCAUCUAAGCACGAAACUUGCCCCGAGAUGAGUUCUCCCUGAGACUUUAAGUCUCCUGAAGGAACGUU
rnacentral:rRNA from 1 species